CUGGUACUCCCUCCGUCCGAAAAUACUUGUCAUCAAAAUGAAUAAAAGUGGAUGUAUCUAGAUGUAUUUUAGUUCUAGAUACAUCCCUUUUUGUCCAUUUUGAUAACAAGUAUUUUCGGACGGAGGGAGUAUGAA
rnacentral:pre_miRNA from 1 species